CAUGGAAUCAGCUAAUGCAUCCGUGAGAUCAAUGUCUAACUUUGACAUCUGCUCCCGAUUGUGCUGUCCCGCCACCAGUGAAAACCUCAGAAAGCUUUGAGAAACAACAGGGGACAAAAUGACAAGAGAAGGGGAGACUCACUAAGCCACUGAACCUUAAUUUAUGGUGAGAGCUAUGUCUCGUCACUCAGGAUAGCGCUUCAGGUAUCUGUGGAGGCCAGAAGGCACCAGAGCCACUGAACUGGAAUUACAGACAGUAACUGUGAACCACCUGCUGUGAAUGCUGAGACCUGAACCUGCCUUCUCUACAACAGCAGCAGGCCAUCUCUCCAGCCCACACUUCUUUUUUUCUUUCUUUUCUAAUUAAAAACUUUGGAGUAAGUUUUACUUUGGAGCAUCCUCAUCAAGUGGACAUGAGUACAUGUGUUACCUGGAUCCGCAUACAAAGAAUGCGCAUUUUAAUUUAGGAAAAUUAAAUGCUAUUUGUUUUGUCAACAGCUCUGGAUCACGCAAGUUUGCAGACCCUCCUCUGUUUUCUUGGACGACUACAGGCGUGAGUGCUGUGUGGUUUUGGGCUUUUUUUAAAGAUGUAUUUAUUAAGUAUACAGUGGUCUGUCUUCAUGCAUGCCUGCAGGCCAGAAGAGGGCUCCAGAUCUCA